UACAGAGGUCUCAAGCGUUGUUCGGAUUCAUUGGGCGUAAAGGGUGCGUAGGCGGCGCGGUAAGUCGGGUGUGAAAUCUCGGGGCUUAACUCCGAAACUGCAUUCGAUACUGCCGUGCUUGAGGACUGGAGAGGAGACUGGAAUUUACGGUGUAGCGGUGAAAUGCGUAGAUAUCAGGAGGAACACCGGUGGCGAAGGCGGGUCUCUGGGCCGUAACUGACGCUGAGGAGCGAAAGCGUGGGGAGCGAACAGG
rnacentral:rRNA from 1 species